GUAAAAGGUGGUGAGUUGGGGUCAAUUGGAAAGACACCUGGAGCACUUGGAGUGCCUGGAUAAAUGAUAGGUGUAGUGGGGGUGGUAGGAGUCGGGGAGUAACCACCCCCUGGAGUGCUUGGAGUUCCGGGGUCAAUGGUAGGAGUAGGUGGUGUUUCAAUGAUUGGAGUAGUUGGGGUAGUAGGUGUAGGGGAAGGAUAGUAACCACCACCCCCUGGAGUGCUUGGAGUACCAGGGUCAACGGUAGGCGUAGGUGGUGUUUCAAUGGUAGGUGUAGAGGGGGUGGUAGGUGUAGGUGUAGGCGAAGGAUAGUAGCCACCACCACCUGGAGUGCUUGGAGUUCCGGGGUCAGCGGUAGGAGUAGGUGGUGUUUCAAUAGUAGGUGCGGAGGGAGUGGAUGGUGUACUAGGGGUACUAGGUGUAGGAGUACUUGGAGUCGGGGAAGGAUAGUAGCCACUUCCACCCCCUGGAGUACUUGGAGUGCCAGGGUCUGGAGUUGGGGUUACAACAGGUGUAGAG
rnacentral:lncRNA from 1 species